AAACAUGACGCGAGAGUGACAAAAAUGAAAUUAAGCGAGAAUGAAAUGAGAAAAGUGAGCACUGAAAUCGUGAUGACAAAACGUAUAACGUGAGGUUUCUAUGUUUUGUCAUCAUUUCUCUUUGAAGGAAGUCGGAGAUAUUGCUUUUCGAGUGGUAAAAGGAGGUUUGAACGAGUUUAUGAUAAAAUCUUGGAUGCUUAUUUGUUGUAAUUGACA
ensembl:ncRNA M176.15 ncRNA